rnacentral:rRNA from 1 species
UACGGAGGAUGCGAGCGUUAUCCGGAUUUAUUGGGUUUAAAGGGUGCGUAGGCUGGCGCUCAAGUCAGGGGUGAAAUGCCGUGGCUCAACCACGGAGCUGCCUUUGAUACUGUGCGUCUUGAAUUCGGAUGCCGUGGGAGGAAUGAGUAGUGUAGCGGUGAAAUGCAUAGAUAUUACUCAGAACACCGAUUGCGAAGGCAUCUCACGAAUCCGAGAUUGACGCUGAGGCACGAAAGCGUGGGGAU